CUCAACCGACGGAGCCCCCCCAGGCGCCCCCGUACUCAGAGCUUUCCACUCGGAGCCAAGAGUUUAAAAAUGUUUGUGGGCUGGAGAAUUUUCCUACAAAUGGGGCUGUUCACUUUCAGUUUUAAUAAAUAGUAAUUAGGGGAGCCACCUAUGUCCUGUCUACUUGGGAUUGUGGUUUUAGUUGUGCCCUUCCCUGUGACCGGGUAGAGUCCCUGAAUGAAUUCCCUGUGUGUCUUCCUACAUUUGCCGUACGAUGUUGAGUUGCCGUGUGCCCAGGCCCAUUGGAUUUUCAGUGGUGAAUAUAUCUCGUUGAAUUCCCUGCCCUGCCUUCCCUCAUGCUUUUGGCCUCGAUCUUAAUCUUGCCUGCCGUUAAUGAUGUCACGCCGCUGUGUGUGUUACUUGGAGUUUGCCUGGUAUAUUUCAGCUUGAUUUUUCGGAGUCUUUUUUUUCUUAAAAACUUUAUUUUGACGUAACUUGAAUCGACCUAGAGCCGGCACAACUGGUGCUGAGAGUUCCUGGGCACUCCUCUCCCAGCUUCGCCUAAUGAAAACAUCUUCCCUCCUCAGAGCACAGCCACCCAAGCAGGACGCUGGCAUCGGCACGAUAUCAGCAACGACCUUAUUCGAAUGCCGACUUAGAGUUUUUCCAAAGCCCCUGCUUUUAGGCACACUCAAGGCUAGGGGCACAGUCUUCCAGAUGGCAAAGUCUGCCCAAGCCUCCCGACACCCGCUACGCAGUCCGAGGGCCCCCCAAGCCGCCCUCAGGUUGGACAGUUCGCUGAAGAGACAGAACUCACCGAAACCUGUUGGAUUGUUGGUCAGGCUUGUUACGGGGGAGGAUACACAUCAGCGCCAGCCGCGGGGUGGACCGGCAGUGUUCCAAGAACAGAGUUCCUGGUCAUCCUCACUGAGCCCGACGGUGGGCUUGGGGACCCCUGCCAUCAGCCCUGUGAAACUUGAUCACGUGUAGAGAUUGACGUGACCCUGGCUACAGUCAGGAUCCAGAACUGUCCCAUUUGCCUCCCAAACUCCUUCCUGCUCUCCCUCUUCCAGUCCCGCCCUCCUAACGCUGACCCCUGACCACCUGUCAUCCACUCUGUCACCUUGUCACUUCGAGGAUGUUAGUAUAGUUGGAUUGCAGAGUGAUAUUAGUUGCAUGUGUACAAGACGGUGACUCAGCACUUCUGUACGUCACCCCGUGCGCCUCAUGCAAGGUGUUGCCAUGCGGUCUCCAGAGCUCAGCCGGAGAGGUUGGGGUGGACGCGGGCCCGGGCCCAGGCUUCCUGCCGGUUUCCCAAGAAGCAGAUCAGAGAGCCCAGAGGUGAGGGGCGAGGACCCAGGAGCCAAGGACGAGGACUUCCCGUCCCGGGAGGGACGGAUGUCCGUGCAGCUCCACGGGACCACCCCGUCCUUCCAGGGGGCUCAGGGCUGGGGUGGCGGUGCGCUACCCCCUCCGGCAGGAACAGGACCCUCCCCCCAUCCAUCCUGAGGGCAGACACCCCCACCCCGGCCUCGUGCUCCGAGCAGUCGUGGCCAGCACCUCAGACCCGACAGUGUCCUGACCUGUGGCCAUGACCUACGCCGGCCUCCCCACCUGCUGGCUCCCACCACCAGGUGACAUUGCCUCCUGGGACAGGACAGGGCUAUAGCUGCAUCCACUGAGUGUCACGGACAGAGGACGCACACCCUCCCUGGUGCUGCUGUAGGGACCUGAGGCAGGUCUCCUCCCGGGCCUGGCCUGGAGCCAAGGUGGAGCAUAGGCUGGACACGGGCGGCCACACCACCUUCCCGGGCAGAAGAUAAAGAGGGUCCCGCUGAUGAUGACAGCAGCCGACAGGAGGAUUUUCAGGAUCAGGGCUUUGCUGAGAAUCGUGUCCUUGACGUUCCGCGGUGGCUGUCGGAGGGCGUCUUUGUCAACCGGCUCUACCCCCAAGCUGCUCGCAACAAGACAGGGGAGGGAACCUUGACAUAAACCACGGGGACACUUAAAGUGCGGAGGCUGUACAGGCUCUCAGGUCAGCCCCGAAGACACAGCAACGAGGGGGCUUUGGCCAAGUGCCCCCAGGUCGUGGGCAGGAGCUCGGUCUGGUCCCACUCUUAGGGGGACUUCUCCGUCCUUGCCGGAAGCCGGCCCCUCACAUCCUCGGCCCUCGCCCUAACUCCUUCCAGGGUCCCCGGGCCCCAGGGGCAGCCACACACCCGUCCCUGAGCACGGCGGAGGAAAACCACCACCCCAGCCGACCACACCACCGUCCUGGAGCCACUCUGGGUCAUCCCUCAUGAUCGCACAGCUUCCAUCCCAAGGGGACGCCCAGCAGGCUGGAGAAACGGGGUCCAGACGCCGCCCCCCCCCAGGGACCCGCCUCCAGCCGACUGCGCAACAGCGGAACUGGGGUUAGACCAGGGGAAGACGGGACACGGGGCACCGAGGAGGAAGCCGGCUGCAGAGACGGCUGCGGCCAGCUUGCCUCCUGGCCCUGCGCCCAGCGUGUGAAGAGGGACCUGCCCCUGGGCCCGGAGGGACAAAGCGGGACUCCUGCCCUCAGCGGCGACAACUGUGAGAAUUCAUGGUAACAUAUGUAUCACAUUUAUAUCACACACACAUAUAUAAUCUACAAGAAGAUGUACUGUGUGCUCGAACUCAGUGCCUCGCUUGCUCCUGGGCGUCUGGCUCCCCGACUCUGAAGGUGAUUCUUCCUCCUGCCCGUUCAGCUACCCUCACCCUCCCUUCUCACCCAUCCACCCAGCAACUGACUCGCCGACCCCCUACUGUGUGCCCAGCACCGUCCCGGGAGCCGGGAGAUGCUACAAGGCACAAAAACCUUGCCAUAGGGGCAACGGGUCAUCAUCAGAUAAACAAGGACAUACGUAUUUUCUCCUCUAGGGACAAAUAAAGCAGGGUAAGGAGGGAGAGCCCGGGGGCUGCUGUUAGAGCGAUCACGGAGGACAUCUCCGAAGUGGGGACGUGAAGAGAGGGACUGAGGCGUGGAGUCACCCAGGGAGCACAUCCCUCCCUCCGCCACCGGCCCCGGCUGCCCAUGCAGGUGCUUCCUCCCAUGCUCAGGGCAUGCCGCUGGCUGUCUUCCCCACAGUGUGCCACACUCCGGCUUGGCAGGACUCCCGGGGACGGUGUCCCGUACUCGGUGCAAGGGACCCGAGGCGGCAGCGUGGGCGGGCGGCGGAGCCUCGCGGACAGCCUGGCGCCUCACCUCUGCGCCGGCGGCCCGUCCAUGAUGAUGUUGAUCCACAGGAUCUGCAUGGCGUUGAGCGGGCUGGGCAGGUCGCACACGGUGGACAGAGCGAUGAGGCUCAAGGCCGAGAUGCUCCUGCGGGGCACACAGCGGGCACCGUCGAUGGCUGCACGCCGGACACACGCGCAGCCCGACGGCCCCCGGAGACGCCGGCCUUGACUUACGUGCUCAGCUGAAACCGCACGAAGUUUUUGAUGUUAUGAAAAAUCGCCUUGCCUUCCUCCACCGCGUUCCUGCAAGAGGACAGAGCGUUUCUUCGCCGAGGGCCCGCUGGGAGCGUUCGGGCACCUCCGGCAGCCGUGGGAGGGAGCGAUGGUGUCACCGGAGGUGGCCUCACACGCAGGCGCCCCUUCCCCUAACCCCCGCUGGCGGCUCCAGGACAGAGAGGUACAGGAGGACGGUGGCCUGGCCAGCACCACCCGCCGCGGGGGCCUGGGCCGCAGGCCAUGAUCACCCUCGGUACGAAGACCAUAGGUUAUCCUCCCGCCUGAGCCCAGGGACCCGGCCCUCACCCGGGACUUGGGAAGCACCGACUGCAACCCAGAGAUGCAUCUGGACGACAGGCAAAGCAAGACCGAUCAAACCUGCUAAUUCGCCCCAGGGGUGUGGCACGGCGGGGAGAGAAUUAGGAGGCUGAAAACUCAAUCCUUGGUAUGUUCAGAAAACCGUCAAAGUCCUUGAAAAACCUUGACCUUGAGUCACGAAUAUGCAGAAAACUGCCUGACCCUUUUUUUUCUGCUAAAAUUUUUUUUUUUUUUUGCAAAAGAGCUAAAAUUGCAGAGUUCUUUAUCAACUGCAUCUCAGGACUUUUUUUUUAACUACGGGGGAAGGGGGCUAAGGAUUCCUAGGGCGAGUCAAUCCAUUUACAAAGACAAGACUCCUCUGUAAAGUCAAAAAUCGCACCCAACUUCAGUGUUUGUUCAUUGAAGAGUUCUGACAGCAGGCUUAAGAAAACUUCCGUGCCACCCCCAAUAAUUACAAUGGAUUAUGAAUAAAGUCUCGAUUAGAACGAAUUAAAAUCAGAGCUAGAGGGAAGGCAAGCUUGUUAAGAAAACAGAGAAAAGGGAAACAAGAAACCAGGCGUCUUGCAAUCUCGGGAGCUUGCGAUCACACGAGGGCCAACAGUUGGAGCUCCUGCCCCGUCGCUGGUCGCUUUCAGCGCAUGAAACAUACGCGUCCGCACAAACACGGCCCUCCAGCCGCACAUGCUCACUCUUAGCGUUUUUCAGUUAACCCCACAAUGUGAGCAUUUCUCCGUCUUUCAAACAUUCCCCAAAACGUGAUGUUUCAUGGCUUCGUGGCACUCCUCCCCUUGCUGUCGGUAGUUAGGGUGGCCUAGGAUUUCCCCACAGACGGUGCUGCGGCCGACACAUCGGAGCCCGCCUCCGUCUAUGCACCUGACCCCGGCUCGCCCGUCGGAUGCACCCUCAGGCCGUGAGGGGGGCAUGUCCCGAGGGGGGCAGCGGGUCACCGCGGGCAUUUCUGCCGCUGAAAACCAGCCAUGGAGCCACUCACAUGAUGGCCGAGAAGUCAUCAUCCACCAGGAUCACGUUGGCAGCCUCUUUGCUGACAUCUGUCCCCGUCUGCCCCAUGGCGAUCCCGAUGUCCGCAGACUUGAGGGCGACCGCGUCGUUCACCCCGUCCCCCGUCAUGGCCACGACUGCCCCCGACUCCUGCAAAGCCUUUGGAAAGAGGAGAGAAGCUGCAUUUUUAACCGAUUCCCCGGGGGAUGCCGCUGGUCUGGGAAGCCGGCCUUGAGAACCACCGUUUCAGACCAAAAUCUCGGCAGGAGACGCCAAAUGAUCAAAGGAAUCUUUAACAUCAGCUAAGCCCAUCUAGGAAAAGCAAAUGCCACGCUUCUCGUGAGUCAUCCUGAGCCAGCCUCGCUGCAAAGCUCAGGCCGCCUCCGUUAUUCAUUCGUCAAACCAUUUCCGGCAGGGGCAGGGCCAGCUGGUCCUGGCGACUGCUUCUGGCCAAAACGUGCUCAGAAACAAAAGCCCGUGGGCUCCCCUCCAGGAGGAAUGUUCCAGACUCAAAGAGAAGGUUCCGUGUGCUUUCUUCACGAAGGAAAGGGGCUGGCAGGGCAGACCUUUGGCUGGAACCGGGUAAAUCGGCACGGGGCUCACCUCGGCGUGGAGCCCAUCAGACGUUACCAGCUGGGUGACCGUCAUUUCGUUGGCCGUCAGGGUCCCUGUCUUAUCGGAGCAGAUAACACUGCAGCAACCUGGCGCGAGAAAACCCCAGUUUAUGGCAAAGAGGAAUCAUCACCAUCACCUCUCAGGCUGAUGAAACACCCAGGCGGGACUCCCACCCAUCCGAUCCCGUUUGCAGGAAUUCAGCCAGCGGAGUCCCUCACCUAACGUCUCCACGAUCGGUAACUUCUUCACAAUGACCCGCUUCUUGGCCAUCCGCAGCACUCCCAGGACCAGCGUAACCGUGACGACGAUGGGCAGACCCUCCGGAAUGGCAGCCACCGCCAGGCUGGAUCAAAAGGCCAGAUGGGUCACCUUUAACACGCACUUAAGGACGACACGAAUCCCACCUGGGGUCGCCAACACUUUUACCCGGGGAAGUACGUCUCUGGUGUCCCCAGCGUCCCGGUUCUAGUCUCUGUUCCCAGUCCCAUGAUGCACCUGUCUCCUUCUUCAGCAUCCAUUGCUCUAAGCUCUCCUGUUGCGAAACCCUGUUCUUGGGGUGGGACCGUCCCUAUCAGACAUCCACACUUUAGUAUAAAUUAGUCUCUCGGUUGUUUUGCCUCUUUUGAAGCGCCUUUGCGUUUCAAUUGUUGUCAUUUACUAAAGAGAAAAGUCUUUGGGUCCUAUGAGAAGAAUUUCCAGAAUUGGGCGAGAAGCGGGAAGUGGAAUUUUUUGGUUCGGAGGGUCCGGCUGGGUCCUCGGAAUUUCACUUCUCAUUGGUCUAGUUGUUUAGACACUUCUGAUAAGAGAGCCAGACAAGGAAAUUAAAGCUGAAGGAUGUAGAGUGA